rnacentral:rRNA from 1 species
UACGUAGGUGGCAAGCGUUGUCCGGAAUCACUGGGCGUAAAGCGCGCGCAGGCGGCCGCUUAAGUCUGGGGUGAAAGCCCGGGGCUCAACCUCGGGAUGGCCUUGGAUACUGGGUGGCUUGAGCAUCGGAGAGGCAAGGGGAAUUCCACGUGUAGCGGUGAAAUGCGUAGAGAUGUGGAGGAACACCAGUGGCGAAGGCGCCUUGCUGGACGAUAGCUGACGCUGAGGCGCGAAAGCGUGGGGAGCAAACAGG